AGCGGUCGGAGAUACUGCCAACCACACAACCAGACACCACACGCGUACGCACACUGGGCCUGUGUGACUUGUGCGCUGCUCCACUCGUGUGUGUUAAUUCGCUCCCCAUGAGGCGCUGCAGGCUGUGGUAAUUAUAGAAGCUCGGCUAGCAGACUCAUCACAAGAGAGAAGUACAUUUAAAGCCACGUGCAGCUGCGCGAAUACAAAGGAGCCGACAAAACGGAUGGGGGGGGGGGUCACCGGGAGAUGGAGUAGAUGCCUGUAUACUUUCUUAAAGAAAGCUGAAGCUGGGUUUAUGGGCGUUAGGUGGUCCGAUGCAGACGUGAGGCCCGGUGGGACAAGCUGCGGGCCGUGGAGAGCUUCAAGGAGCGGCGCUCGGACGACGGCGUUACAGAAAUGUCACUCAGAAGGAGGAGGCGGGGAGGAGGAGGCCAGAGGCAGCAUGGGAGGAGGGAGAAGAAGGGGGGGGGGGCAGGACAUUCAUGUUAUCGACUCAACAUUUGUUCUUUGAAUUUUUAACGGCUGUGCUACAGGCUGCGCAGCGCACGGGCCCAUGUCACGUCUAUUUUUAAAGCGUUCACUGUAAACCCCCUUUUCUUUUAUCACACUUUUGUUGUAUAAUUCAUUUGUUAUUUCAUUUGUUCAGUGGGGUGGAGGAAUGCUGCCUAAUGCUUUUGUCAAUAGAACAAAUGUGUGAAAAAUGCCUUAUAGCCAUCUUCCACAAUCCAUGUGAAAGCAAUAAAAAAAAAAGCAGCAAUUAAUGGCUCCAGAGCUUGUUACGGUGAAUUAAAGUGCACGUGGUGCCCUGUGUGCCACGCUGUGGGUCGCACCGUCUAAUGGUGACUUGAAAAUUGCAUUUGAAGGAAAACAUUGAGCAACACUGAGCCCACAACAGACAUUAUGGGUUGAAGGUUGAAUUUUCUAAAAUCAAUACAAAGAAAGACUCUGUUUCAAUGUACAAAGACAUCAAUAAAUUGAGUUAAC
ensembl:lncRNA